GCCCCUGCCUUUCGCAUGGGCUCUAAUUUAGUUCAAUUCAGAACUGCAGAUAGUACGGUUUCCACAGGAGCAGGGAUGCCUGAGCACUUAUGGCUGAGUUCCGAGGGACUUUAGGAAAUGCUUCCCGGCUUCCUGGUCGUGCAAACAGGAGUCUGCACCUGCACUCCAGUCAGUCUGGGGAGAAGUCCCUGCUUUGCCUGCAGGGACAAGGAACUACAGCAAGAAGCAGCAGUGGGAAAUUGCUCUGGACACAAGAACCAAUCCAUGAAGGAGGCUGAAAGCAACUCCAUCUACAUGUUCAGUGGCAAUCCAGUAGGAACACAGCAAUGUGCAUGUCUCUGUGAAACGUAGAGGUUGGUUCACUGUACUCUACAAUUAGGAUGUGAUCAAGCUGGAAAAAUUCUGCUCAUAAUCAAAUAUUUUGGACACAUGCAGCAUUCAUUCCUAUAGUUUUGACUGCUUGGAGGGAGGCCCAGAAGAAAGGAAGGUAAGUUACUGAAUAAGUCAUAUUAAGCCUUUGGAAAUUCAUUCCUUGUUUUCAUUAUCAUAGUUUUUAAACAACUGGGUGAGAUGACAGCCCAAUUUCUCAGUUAUGAAUAUUCUCAUAGAAAUGUUAGCUGAAGGAUCAAGGAGGAGAAGCAUGAUAGAUAAACCAAUACAUCCUCUCAUUAGAAGAAUUGGCAGAAUUCUGUGCCAAAUACAGUUUAUUCUGGAAGAUAUGAUUGGAAUGAUGUUUAAAAACAGGAUAUUAAGUACACCAAUAAAUAUUUAUGUACAUUAAAAUUUUGAAAAUUUUUUGUUGUUGAUUUUUGAGACAAAGUUAAGAAGGCAAGCCUAAGUGAUUUUAGAAAAUAAGGGCACCAUAUUUCUACAAUGUUUGGAUUGCAAUGUUUUAAAGACAGCUGUCUCUUCAGUGCAACACGAACAUUUUGACAAAAUAGCAACCAUUGAGUGGUUUGAGUCUCUAGCAGAAAAUGCUAUUUGCUAUGUAUGCAGGACAAACAUCUCACAAACUGGGGUUGCACCUAAGUAAAACAAUAAUUCUAAAGUAUUAUUUUGUCCCUGGCAUACAAAUGGACUUUGGCUGCCCAUCCCACAAUAAGGAAUGCUCUCUCAGCCUCGACUCUUGAUGGAGGGCCUAGGCCCUGCCCUGGAUGAAAUGACAGACUCUGGAGAUCCUCCAUGGAGGACCUCACCUUCCCUGGGGAUUCCAGUGGAAAUUGAGUGGGGAACUGAGGGACUUGGUGGGGAAAGCAGGGGAGGAGUGGGGGAGAGGUAGCUGGGAAUUACAUGUGAAGCAAGCUUAUUUCUAAGUUAAAUAAAAAAGGAAGAAAAAAUAAUUAAACCAGAAUUUAUCAGUCAUAUUUCUCCAGUGUUAACUUUAUGUAGUAAAAUUAUACUAUAUUUUGAAAGGCAUCUUCAGUCAGGGAGAUGUAGGAACACUUAUGGGAGAGGUCACAUCUUGCACACUUGAACAUAUUCCAGAGCUCUUAGGAUUUUUAAAGCCACACUAAAAGGUGUGUAUUAAUCAUAAUUCAUCUCAUAUGGAAACCAGGCUAACGCUUUAGCAUAUAAUUCUGAAUUGAGAAAACUUACAGAUAACAUAUGGUCUUACCAAGAACACUGUUUUUACUACCAUCGAAGUUAGCACGUGCAAUCUUAUAUAGCAGCUUGCUUUUUCGCAAGAAGGUGAUUAACUAAGAUGGGCAUUCAUGUGGAGCAUGAGACAUAUAACUCAGAAUUUCAGCACAGAAAGAAACCUUCAGUACAGACUCCCUGCUGAUGCAAAUCAAUUAUCUGUAUUUUCUGCACUAGGGUGGAAACUCUUUGGAGGCCUUAGAAAUUGAAGUGGAGCUUUGAGUGGAGAAGAGGGGAAUUUCGCUCAUCUCACAGGGCCACACCACUGACGUGGAGGCUCUCAUUUCCCUCGUGGGCACAGGAAUUAGAGUAACUAUGACCAAUUAAUGUUGAGUGGAGAACAUGUUAUUUUUCUCUAGGUCAGGGUCACUCAUCCUGGCCUUUGCUGAUAUUUUAACCCAGAUAAUUUCGUGGGGAGGUCCAGCAGCUUUGGCUUCUGCCUACUGUGUUAUAGUCCCACCCUCUCCUAGCUCCUCAGAUUCAGAUAUAGGCCUGCACCCUUCACUGACAAGAUCUACCUGACUGAAUACUACCUGUUUAAGUAUUUUGGGUUUCUUCUUUGAUCUAUACAUAAAACGAGUUAUAUCAGAUCUUGGAACUCACUUUAAUAGAACUUUGUGUGCAGCCAUUUUCUGAACAGAGAGAACAGCUCUGACACAAAUGCUUCUGAUGAACAAUAUUUUAUCUAUGUAUGUUAAACUGCAAUUCUAACUGUGAAUUCAUCAUUUGCAUCACUCAUGUGGUAACAUAGGUAUUUUAAGGGUCAUGGAAUGUGGGCUAAUGCCUUAUUUGAAACGAUUCAAGUUAUCUAGCUAUGUUGACAUAAAAUAUUUGCUGCCAUUUGAAAAGAAACACUUUUCUCAUGUGUUUUCAUUAAAUAUAGUAAUAUGUGUUCAGAACAGAGUUUUGAUAACAGAGAAGAAGACGAUUUGAAUGAUUGUAUAUGAAACUGAGCUCACAGAAAGAGUUCUAAAUGUAUUUUGUCGUCAGCUUGGGAUUUCUCUAUUAAGCAGUGUUCUUGGGAAUGUACAUAAAAUGUUGAACAAUAAUGAAAGUUUGAAGAGAUUAUGUAGGAUUAUCAGGGAUGUGAAUUGAGAAAUUUGGUUCUUUUUAUGUAGUAAGGAGGUAGUAGAGAAACUACAAACUUGAUACACCUUUCUUUUAUUUUAUGCUGGUGGUGAUUUUGAUUGGAAAGAAAAACAUAAAAAUAUGAUAGUCACACAGAGACUAAGAAGAUAGGUCAUCAAAAGAAAGUGCCUUCUGCAUCUUAGGAUUCAAACAACAGAGAAAAUACAUUCCAUGGCCUUAGUUCUUUUCCAAGUUGUUGACAUUCCAUGAACAAAAAUGCUACAUGAAUAAUCUGCAUGUAUAAACUGAUGAAGAGUAACACACUGCGUAAGGUUGUAAUUGUCCAUUGAGUGAGACUGCAUAUGUAUUUGCACAUACACAUAUAUACACAUGUGUGUACAUGUUGUGACCUCCCCAUUGUGCAUAUGUUUUUACAAGGAUGAUUUUCUCCUUGUUUGUUUCAGUUUCUGUCAAUUUUUCUAAGGUGUCUGUGGUUUUCUGCUUUAUGACCUUUUCCAGGUGAUGUGGAAGCAGAAAAAAUUAAACAUACCAUGUUUGUGUGUAUAUAUAUAUAUAUAUAUAUGUAUAUAUAUAUAUAUGUAUGUAAGUAUGUAUGAGAACUUAUUGUUAGUAGGUGUUGCAUGUGAAGUGAAUGAGUUCACAUUAAGAAGAAAUUACAAUUUGGUUUAAAUGAUAGACUGGGAAACUGUUUUCAGCAACUUUGUUAGUAAAGCCCCUUCUAACUAUCAUGGAUUUUUUUAGACCAGAGUUUCCCAAACUUUGGUUGUAUCAGAAAUUCCCAAUGGGUUUGUGAAAACACAGACUGCUCAGUUUGGGCCUACAGUAUAUCUUCAGGUGAGCCUGCAAUCUCCAUACAUAGCCAACCUCCAGCGAUGUCAGAUGGUCGUUGUCUUACAGCUUUCCACACACUCAUGAACCAACUCUUCAUUUGAGCUAAAAUCUUUCCCUUUUGUAGAAAUGGCAAAGACUAUAUGGGUUAAGUAAAUAAAUUCAUGACUUGGGAAUACUCAUUUGUAAUAGACUGACUGCUUUACCAGUGGAAUAGAUGGAUUAUAAAUGAGGCUGUUUUCAAUGUGAUCCUUGAUGUGUUAUUGAAAGACAAGAAACUUUAAGAGAUAAACAAAACAGGUUAUCCCUUCCCAAAUACAAAUUUCAAUCAGCUUAAUUUUAAAAUGCAUACUAUAUAGUAAUACAAUGCUAAAAAUAUCUGACAUCAAUAUUUUAUCCAUCUUUUCUCCUAAUUAUCUAUGUGCCACCUAAUCUCAAGGAGUUAUUGACUCUGUUCUCUUAGUGUUCAACCUUACCCUAAUAUCUCUCAGUCUUAUAUAAUAUUUUAUUAUUUAUGAGUAUUGCAAGUCUGUACUAAUUCAAUACUGUUACUUAAAAUUCAUCAGGAUUCUAUUACAUUUAUUUAAACACUAAUACAUGGAAUAUAAUCUGUUUCAUAUACUAGCCAGAACUACAGAACCCAUUUUGGCAGAUGGUCAGGGCUCCCCACAAUGAUGGUGGAAGACAUACAUCUGAAGUACUGGUGUAGUUAAUCAGUUAAUCUUGUGGAUGAGACGUUGAGAAGUGUGAGCCCCAUGGUCAUUGAGUGUUUUCUUAUCCUUUGUACAGUAUUUGAAGGCAUUCAAAGUAAACCAGCUACCUGAGAAGUCCCUGAGUCAGAUGUAAUAGACUAGUCCAUCUUAAGACAGAAGUCAACUUCUAAACCUAACUCCCUAGUUUGACACAACUAUGAAGCAUGAUGUAAGAAUGACCCAUGUGAUGUGUGACCAUUCAGCCGAAGAUUAUCCUGCACCACAUCUAGUCAGAUGUUAUUGUACAGAUUUCCACAGAAACUAUGGAAAUAUGGAAUGCUUGAUGUUUUAAGAGAAGAUGAAGGCAGCUGUAAUGAAGACAAUAUGAAGCCCAUCUCUUUGUGAUUGGGAGAGAAUGAAUCCAAAAUUGAAUUGCAACUCUUCCCUGUACACCAGGCCACCAACUUUUGCUUAUUUGGCAGAAACACAGAGUCACUUAGCCAAAUAAACAACAUAAAUAUUCCAAAAGAAGAUACUGUGAAAUUGCAUUAAUAUUUAUUUCAAUACAUAUGUAUUAUGUUUGACAGUGAAUUAAGCCACACUAAAGCAUAUAUGCUUUAAGAUUCCUCAUAGGAAUAUGGCCUCUUAGGUUUAUCUGUGGAAGUUUACAGAGAUCUGAAAAAUUUGUAGUUGUUCUGACUGCAUAGCAAAGGAAGAUAGAAAGUAUUUGUUGUGAAUUGAAUAUCACAAAGUCAUCAUCCCCUACUGUAUUCAAUUACUGCUACUCGAAGAACCUUGAGCACAAGUGCCUAUUCAUUCCUGAGUAAAUAUUUUAUAUUCUCCAAUACAGUGGAUAAGCAGUAUAUUGGAAUGCUAAUAACUAUACUUCAUUGUUCUCCAACACCUUGCAAACAUUAUCUAAAUUUGAGAUUUAGGUUUAUAAGUUGACUCCUGUUUUCAGGCAACUACAAUAGUUUACAAAUAUAAUAAUGCAGGAUUGAGCCCCUCACUUCUACGUUUUCUAAUUUAACAAUCCUAGCCCCCUGCCUUUCCACAGAGGCAAAAGUAAAAAUCUCUUUAACAUAAAGAACUCCAGCUUGUCAUGUGCAUAUCCAAAGUCCUGGCAUUGAUGCCAGAUCCACGGUUUCCAAGGGGGAGGAUAAUCUGUGAUAACAAAAUUGUAUCCCUUUCUUCCUGCAAUUACCUCAGCGUCCUUACAGCCUUGACAUCUGGAAGCCCCCAGUUACUGUCACAGCUGUGAUUCCUGCCCCAUUGCAGGAAUUUAAGCACAUGUUCCAAAGAACACUCAUUGUUUUGCUAUUUUCUGGGAGCUCAAAACCAAGGCUAUUGGCAAAAACAUUACUUGCUACCACAUACUUUAGAAUCAUAUAUUCAUGUGUGACACAUCACAAUAUGAACCUCUUAUUUCCAGGUGGUGUGGCUUUUGCUUAGCAACACACACACACACACACACACACACACACACACACACAUAUUGGGGAAGUAUCUUGAAUUUAGCCAUUUUUACUUUUUAUUUAGAUGUACACUGGUUUUCAGUGUUCUUUUUAGUGUUCUUAUCUUUGAUUUUGAGACUUUAUUGCCAUCAGUUUCUCAAAUGAUUAAGGCUAGUUAGGAAGAUGUAUGCUUCAAUACACUCUCCUAUUAAAACUGUUGGGAGAGAAUUAGGUAGUAAGUGUUGUGAGAAACAUAGCACUCUGUAUUUGUUCAUAUAGUACUUCAGAUAGCAAACACAUUUCAAGUACUCGAGAAUCAGCUAAAAAAAUCUAGUUUCCCAGAUGAAGUACAGAAUCACUAAUUGUCAGGAAAACCCAACUGUCUUUUGACACUAAUAAAUGUGUGGAAUGAUUUUGUGAUUUAAAGUUGACGAACAUUUAUGGCUGUUUACAUGGCUCACUUUUAUUCUUUGAAAAUGAUCAAAAGCAGUGUGUGCUACAUGGACUUACUAUUAACUGAUCUUCAAAAAAGCCAUAAUGAUUAUCCUCAUUUUAAGGGCAUUAGUGGGUUUUGUUCACAAAAUUAAGAGUGAGAUGGGUUUUUCUAAUGCUCUACAAUCAUUUUGUUAAUCAAAAUGAUUGCCAGCAAUCUUCUAGAAACCAAACUGAUUUGCUCCAGAAUAGAUUAAGGAUUGCUCUAACUUACAGCAUCACUUGACAAAAAUAUAAUUGAAUAUGAUUUUUAUUUAGUGUACUAAUUGUAUUUUUAUUUCUGUUUAUCAAUUUAUCAUUUCUUUCAUUUACUCCAACAUAUUAAAACACACUCCACAGCAUAUAAUUUGCCCUAAUUUGCUACUUAAUUCCAAAUUUCCCUUUGCUUGAUUUUUUUUAAAUUUGUGCUCAUAGUUAAUAAGUCAUCUCCCAUAAUUCAACAGUUUGUUUCAAAUGAUUAAAGCAGGCUUAUAUCAUAUAGGUAGUGACUGCAAUAUCUAAUAUCCUAUUUUGGUUAACAUUUUUGACAGUGUAUUUAAAAUAUGUUCAUGGGAUACUACUUUUAUACAUGCUUAAAAAUUGUGUUAGCUUUGGAUGAUAUUCCUCUGAAGUUGUUGGGUGUUAUUCUAAUAUUUUAACAUGACAUUCUAUACUGAAGGUUUUAACUCAUUUUGAAACAAAUCUUUCUUUGGAUAGUGACUGGUUUUUCUACAUUCACUACUCUACAAAACCUUGCCAGAGGCUCAUCUCCCUGUAAAUAGCAAUUAUAGAGUUCAGAAUGAUGUUUAUAUAAAUUUUUAAAACCCAUUUGAAAAUCAUAUACAAAAUAUAUAGUUCAUCUUGUCCAAUUGCUUUGCAGCCUUUAUGCUUCUACAUUGUGUUCUCUUAGUGACAAUUCAUUUUUCAACACUACAGAAUGUGUAAGAGCUAACUUUAGAUUGGUCUGUGUAAUACGUGAGCAUUGAGACACAGGUGAAGUAUUUUCAAAAUCAAAUAAAGCAGAAUUGUGUUUAUGAUGGUCUGUUCACACACCACCAAUGUUUUUCAGCAUAUGGGCAAAUGCUCCUUUUCAUUGCUAUUUAAACAAAAGCACCUGGGGUGCUCUAGUCUGCAGUGGAAGGUCCAUCAGUGAGCGAAUGUGCCAAGGGGAAUGCAAAGGCUUGCUCUCAGGGAGAUUGCACUUCAGCUGUGUAAUAAAGAUCCUUCAACAGAAGUGUCUGCUGUAACCUGAGUGCUGGUCACACAGAGAGAAGCCCCCGUUUCCAUAGAUUACAAACUGUUCACACCUGUUUAGAAGGCCAGAUUAAGGGAGAUGUCACUGAGUAGUUCCAGACUUGAUUUUAGUUGACUGCUUGUUGAUGAGAGUUUUGCAAAACUGACAUUGAAUUGUUUCUGUUGGAUACAAUUUGUGUGAGAAAUUCUGCUUAAGCUUUUCUCUUUAUCCUUUUCGGUUUUUCUCACACCUCAGAAAUCAUUUUUGACUUUCCAAAGACAUCUUAGUUUCAAAGUUCAAUGUCAGAACUUUUAUGUCCCAACAUAAAAUGUAACAAGGCAAAAUUUGAGAUGAUUUAUGUGCAAGACAUUGCACCAUUAAAGUAUUUAAGCCAACCUUGGCAAAGUUCAUUAUCAAGAUUUUCCCAUAUUAUACAUUUUGAUGAUGGAUUUUAUUUUUUGUAGUGCUUGGGUUUCAACCCAGGGCAUUGCAUGUACCAGGAAUGCAUAAUACGACUGAAUUACAUCUCCAUAUUGGAAAUAGUAUUGUUGGCUAUUAAAUAGUGUGUCUUUAGUUGCUGCAAAGUUCUCACUGACAAAAGAAACUAAAAUGUAUUCUUGACUAUGAGGAUGUACAUAAUGAAUCUUGGUUAAAAAAAUCCUAACCCUCUAUAUUUUAAAGAAUUUAUUACUCGUUUUUUAAAUAAAAGGAAGAGUCACCAAACAAAUGUGUAAGACUUAAAAUAUACUAUAUUUGAAAACUGUCACUAACUCAUCAUCUGAAAUAGCUGAUUUGAGAACAGAUUUCACACUGUCACAUACACCAGAAGAUGUCUAAAACAGACUGGCUUUUCUGCUGUUGGAUUUUCCAUGGAAACAUAGUGAGUCUACUAGGAAUAUCUUUCAGAUAAUGCCCUUCCCUUGAGAAGUUAUCAUACAUUUUUACAAUUAAAUUUUAAAGUAAAAAUGUUAACAUUUCGCAAAUAUAGCUCUCACUUGGAGUCUUGACAGGGACUGCACAUGUUUUGCUGCAGUGUGGUGAAUAUUUUACUGUAGACUCUUAGCUCUUGAGUUUCUUCAGAGACCAAUAAGUCUUGAUGCCCUGCUUAGUCUCAUGAGCAAAAUAUCUCUCCAUUGAUCCAAAAGAAAAAUUACAGAGAAGAACAUCAAUCUACACAGUUCUGACUUCCGAGUAUAAAAACAUGAAAGUGGUCAUUAUCAACACAUGGAGACAGAGUCUAGGCUCUUUAAACCAGAUGCCGUUAUUUUGGGCACAUUGUUUUCAUCACUACACAAUCGUAAUGCAGCCUGAAAUAAGGAUGGGAGAGCAUGAAGCCCCACCCCCUGAAAUGUGCUUUACUUUUUAUGUGGUGUGAACAAAGUGACUCUGAUGGAAAAUGAAAUCUGUCUAAGUUUAAGACAGAAGCACAAAGACGUUUUCCUUCUGGAGACCAGACUUCAACACUGAGAGAUCAGAGGAACAAUUGGAUCUGCAUCAUGACUACAGGCCAAAAUUUUCACAGCAUUCCUGCCUCCAUGUGAGAGCUCACGUGUCUUUAGUGGCAUUUAAAUUACAGCCUUCUGCAGCCACGCAGUGAAAACACCACUUCAUCUGAAGGGACACCACAUUACAGUCAUAGUUUUAUGUCAGAUAUGUCACAGUUUUAAAAUCCAUAUAAUAUGCUUACCCUUCUUUUUCUCUUUUGAUAGCAAAAGCGAAAAAAUUGUCGUUUAAACUAGGUUUAUUGUUUAACUAAUCAAGAUAGAUAAAAGACAAGAUUUAUUUAUAAUAUCUUGACUUAGUUUAUAGUUUUUAUCUUCCUUUUGUGUUAUAUAUUCCUCCCGUAAUUUUAUUUUAGCAUCCUCAUAUAUCUAAUAUAUCACAUAUAUGUCAUAUUCACACACAAUGAAUGAAAAUGAAAAAUGUUAUUUUCAAUAGAGAAUAACAGGGAUUUUGGAUGUAAGGCUGACUUAGACUAGAAUAUCUAUCAUAUAUACAUAUAUAUAAAAAGAGACACCAUGCUCUGUAUUCUGGGACAGCAGCAUUCUGUACAGAUGGCAUCUUUCAAAUGUCAACCAAGAAAAAAGUUUUAAUUGGAAUAUGUACUUUAACAUAAUGUUUAUUACAGUGACUUCACAAUAAACCCCUUCUGAAAAUUAGCAUUUCACUCAGUAUUCCUACAGAUAACCAAACAAGACGCUUCACUUUCUAUAAAAGCACUACCCCUUCACCCCAUCCAAUCAUUUAUAUAAUAACCCAUGUAUCUAUACACCUGUACUAUUGGUGUUCAAAGAGAUAAACUCUUUCCCAAGAACACAUGCUACCUUUUUGAGUGGAUGGCAAACUUUUCUUUCACUCUUUAUAGUAUAGCAUGGACUUCAUGUAUUUACAAUAGGUUUAAAUCACAUGACAAAAUAAUGAGCCUCUACAUAAUGUGCUUUCUCAGACUGAGGUGUGAGAUAAGUGACUUUAAUACUGCCAUGGGAGGUUUUAUUUUUUAAGUAAUCUGAAACUGUCUUAAUAAGUCAGCUUUAGCUGAGAAUAUUUAUAUGAAGAUUUUUGCCUCAGUUUUGGAAAAAGCCAUUUACUACAAAUAAGCAAAUUCUUAAAAUUCUGAAAAUUCUAGGCAACUUUAGUGUGUGUGUGUGUGUGUAAGCUAUAUGAGAGUAGGAAUAGAAAAGAAUUACUGUGCAGACAGUUCUCAAAUUGGAAAUGCCUAAGAUCCCACAGAAUAUUUACCUCUCUAAGAAUCCAGGUGAGGAAUUGCAGAAAUAUUUAUUAAUAAUAGGGACAAUCAAUUUUUCCUUUGAAUUGGGUUAAAUCAUGAUGAGUAGUUUACCUAGAUUUUUUGGCGUAAUUUUUUAUUAAAAUGAAUUUUUCUUUUGUAUGAAGUGAUGGGAAUGAUAGAGUAGCCAUACUGGGAAGUAAAAUCAUAGAGAGGAAAUUCUGCACAUUACAUAACAGUUAACUUUAGUCUGUUAAACUCCUCUCCCUCCCUCACUAGGAUGCAGGACAGACUUAUUUCUGGAGGUCCAUUGCUUGGUAAACACAAUUGAGCAUAUGCAGUGUGAUGAACACCUAUAAAUCCAUUUAUAUAAAAGCUAGAGGUGUGCCGCAUUGGAUGACACAUCUUCCCUCGUUCUCCCAACUCAUAUUCUUCUCCCGAGAACUUCCUCCUCAUCGUUGCUGUAUAUCUCCUUUGCAGAAUGAUCGUGUUACACCUUGAAAGAAAUGUUCACCAUCCAGUCCAGGCCUGAUAAGAAUGAGGCCACAUGGAGCAGGCUACAUGCCACCUAUGUGAGAUUUUCCCAUCGCGCUACCACUUCCCUAAGUUUUGAGGUUCUCUUUGCAGUUGUGUGAUGCAGUUGCUUCAUUUCUAAGAUUUAUAAAAUGUAGCAUUUUGUUAAUAGCUUUGCUAUGAACCUGUAAGUCAUACUUUCAGGACUCCUGUGCAUAGCUGCCUAUGUCAGGAAACCAUAUGUAUUUCAUUGCUGAGUAGAAUGUAAUCAUGCCUAAUUUCGGCUCUCCUUCUCUUCUUGACAUUUGAGUUACCUUCUUUAUGCAGUCAUCAGAAACGUCAUGUCACAAUUCUUGUGUCUAUUGUGUCACUCAUGGGUGAGAAAUACUAUCAAAUAUGUAGUAUAUCAGUAAUUUCUGAAUCUUUAGGUUUCUGGAGUAUUAGUUUGUACAUGGGUUUUAUUUUAGAUUUGGUUUUGUACUUGUUGCUUUUGUUUGUUUAUUUGCUUGUCUUAACCCCCACAGGACAUAGUUUUUAUGUUUGCUUACUAUGUUUAGUCCUAGUGUUCGCUCAACAGUAUCUGUGCAUUUUAAGUUUGAAUUUUUAUGAUUUAAAAUGAAAAUAUUUCAUGUUACACUUAUUUUCAUUUUUCCUUAUUGUCAUUCCUCCCUCUAAACCUUCCCAUAUACCCUUAUCCUUCUCUCAAGUUCAUGUCCUUUGGCCUCUUUGCUUUCAUUGUUCAUAUAUAUAUUCCUCAGUAUAUAAAUACAGCCUGCUCACUCUGUACUGUAUAAUGCUUCUUGUCUCCUGUUGGCUUAGUUAUAUGUCUUACAUUGUUUUGUUCUGAUACAUGGUCUCACUAUGAAACUUUCCUGGCCUAGAAUUCAUUAUGUAAAUCAGGCUAUCACAGAUCUCACAGAGAAUCGCCUGCUUCUGCCUCCUCAGUGCUGGCAUUAAAGUCAUAUAAUGGCA